AAUUGACGGGGACCCGCACAAGCGGUGGAUGAUGUGGAUUAAUUCGAUGCAACGCGAAGAACCUUACCUACCCUUGACAUGUCCGGAACUUGCCAGAGAUGGCUUGGUGCCCGAAAGGGAAUCGGAACACAGGUGCUGCAUGGCUGUCGUCAGCUCGUGUCGUGAGAUGUUGGGUUAAGUCCCGCAACGAGCGCAACCCUUAUCAUUAGUUGCUACGCAAGGGCACUCUAAUGAGACUGCCGGUGACAAACCGAAGGAAGGUGGGGAUGACGUCAAGUCCUCAUGGCCCUUAUGACCUGGGCUACACACGUGCUACAAUGGUUGGUACAACGAGUUGCGAGUCGGUGACGGCGAGCUAAUCUCUUAAAGCCAAUCUCAGUUCGGAUUGUAGGCUGCAACUCGCCUACAUGAAGUCGGAAUCGCUAGUAAUCGCGGAUCAGCACGCCGCGGUGAAUACGUUCCCGGGCCUU
rnacentral:rRNA from 1 species